AUACAACAACCAUAUAAUAAACAAAAAACAACAACAAUACGAAAACAUGGGUCGCAAAUUCGCAACAUUCUAC
rnacentral:ribozyme from 12 species